UACGUAGGGGGCAAGCGUUGUCCGGAAUCAUUGGGCGUAAAGCGCGUGUAGGCGGUUACGUAAGUCUGCUGUGAAAGUCGGAGGCUCAACCUUCGAAAGCCGGUGGAUACUGCGUGACUAGAGUACGGAAGAGGAGAGUGGAAUUCCUGGUGUAGCGGUGAAAUGCGCAGAUAUCAGGAGGAACACCAACGGCGAAGGCAGCUCUCUGGGACGUUACUGACACUGAGGCGCGAAAGCGUGGGGAGCGAACAGG
rnacentral:rRNA from 1 species